ensembl:rRNA 5S_rRNA 5S ribosomal RNA
GUCUACAGCCAUACCACCCUGAAUGUGCUGGAUCUUAUCUGAUCUCAGAAGCUAAGCUGGGUUGGGCCUGGUUAGUACUUGAAUAGGAGACAUAUUUACCGGGAAAGCUUGUUGAGGGCU